GAUGAACGCUGGCGGCGUGCCUAAUACAUGCAAGUCGAGCGAACAGACGAGAGUGCUUGCACUCUCUGACGUUAGCGGCGGACGGGUGAGUCACACGUGGGUAACCUACCUAUAAGACUGGGAUAACUUCGGGAAACCGGAGCUAAUACCGGAUAAUAUUUAGCUUCGCAUGAAGCAAUAGUGAAAGACGGUUCUGCUGUCACUUAUAGAUGGACCCGCGGUGUAUUAGCUAGUUGGUGAGGUAACGGCUCACCAAGGCAACGAUGCAUAGCCGACCUGAGAGGGUGAUCGGCCACACUGGAGCUGAGACACGGCCCAGACUCCUACGGGAGGCAGCAGUAGGGAAUCUUCCGCAAUGGACGAAAGUCUGACGGAGCAAUGCCGCGUGAGUGAAGAAGGUUUUCGGAUCGUAAAACUCUGUUGUUAGGGAAGAACAAGUACGUUAGUAACUGAACGUACCUUGACGGUACCUUACCAGAAAGCCACGGCUAACUACGUG
rnacentral:rRNA from 1 species